AACGAACGCUGGCGGCAGGCCUAACACAUGCAAGCCGAGCGGGACCUUCGGGUCUAGCGGCGGACGGGUGAGUAUCGCGUGGGAAUGUGCCCUUCUCUACGGAAUAGACUCAGGAAACUGAGAGUAAUACCGUAUACGCCCUUUGGGGGAAAGAUUUAUCGGAGAAGGAUCAGCCCGCGUUGGAUUAGGUAGUUGGUGGGGUAAUGGCCUACCAAGCCGACGAUCCAUAGCUGGUUUGAGAGGAUGAUCAGCCACACUGGGACUGAGACACGGCCCAGACUCCUACGGGAGGCAGCAGUGGGGAAUCUUAGACAAUGGGGGAAACCCUGAUCUAGCCAUGCCGCGUGAGUGAUGAAGGCCUUAGGGUUGUAAAGCUCUUUCAGCUGGGAAGAUAAUGACGGUACCAGCAGAAGAAGCCCCGGCUAACUCCGUGCCAGCAGCCGCGGUAAAAC
rnacentral:rRNA from 1 species